rnacentral:rRNA from 1 species
UACGAAGGGGGCUAGCGUUGCUCGGAAUCACUGGGCGUAAAGCGCACGUAGGCGGAUCGCUAAGUCAGGGGUGAAAUCCUGGAGCUCAACUCCAGAACUGCCUUUGAUACUGGCAAUCUCGAGUCCGGGAGAGGUGAGUGGAACUGCGAGUGUAGAGGUGAAAUUCGUAGAUAUUCGCAAGAACACCAGUGGCGAAGGCGGCUUCCUGGCCUGUAACUGACGCUGACGACGCGAAAGCGUGGGGAGCGAACCGG